CUUCACCGACCCCAGCAGCAAGGGCCGGUCGGCCUCGCGGUCCUGGCCGUACGUGGUGAGCAGCGCCUGUGCCUC
rnacentral:antisense_RNA from 1 species